UGCCAGCCGCCGCGGUAAUACGGAGGGGGUUAGCGUUGUUCGGAAUUACUGGGCGUAAAGCGCACGUAGGCGGACUUUUAAGUCAGAUGUGAAAUCCCGGGGCUCAACCCCGGAACUGCAUUUGAAACUGGAAGUCUGGAGUUCAGGAGAGGUUAGCGGAAUACCGAGUGUAGAGGUGAAAUUCGUAGAUAUUCGGUGGAACACCAGUGGCGAAGGCGGCUAACUGGACUGAUACUGACGCUGAGGUGCGAAAGCCAGGGUAGCGAACGGGAUUAGAUA
rnacentral:rRNA from 1 species